rnacentral:rRNA from 1 species
AGUAACGCGUGAGGAACCUGCCUCAAAGAGGGGGACAACAGUUGGAAACGACUGCUAAUACCGCAUAAGCCCACAGCUCGGCAUCGAGCAGAGGGAAAAGGAGCAAUCCGCUUUGAGAUGGCCUCGCGUCCGAUUAGCUAGUUGGUGAGGUAACGGCCCACCAAGGCGACGAUCGGUAGCCGGACUGGGAGGCUGAACGGCCACAUUGGGACUGAGACACGGCCCAG